ensembl:rRNA 5S_rRNA 5S ribosomal RNA
GUCUAUGGCCAUACUACCCUGAAUGUGGACACUCUCAUCUGAUCUCAAAAACGAAGCAGGGUCGGGCUUAGUACUUGGAUGGGAGAAUAUGGAAGUUUAGGACUUUAGAGA